GCCAGACUCCUACGGAAGGCAGCAGUGGGGGAUAUUGCACAAUGGGGGGAACCCUGAUGCAGCGACGCCGCGUGGGUGAAGGAGCGUUUCGGCGCGUAAAGCCCUAUCGGCAGGGAAGAAGGAGGACGGUACCUGACUAAGAAGCCCCGGCUAACUACGUGCCAGCAGCCGCGGUAAUACGUAGGGGGCAAGCGUUAUCCGGAUUUACUGGGUGUAAAGGGGGCGCAGACGGCAGCGCAAGCCAGGAGUGAAAGCCCGGGGCCCAACCCCGGGACUGCUCUUGGAACUGCGCGGCUGGAGUGCAGGAGGGGCAGGCGGAAUUCCUGGUGUAGCGGUGAAAUGCGUAGAUAUCGGGAGGAACACCGGUGGCGAAGGCGGCCUGCUGGACUGCGACUGACGUUGAGGCCCGAAAGCGUGGGGAGCAAACAGGAUUAGAUACCCCAGUAC
rnacentral:rRNA from 1 species